GCUUUAGUGGAAGGGGUCCCUGCCCGUGGCAGGGGUUGGAACUGGAUGAGCUUUAAGGUCCCUUCAACACAAAUCAGGUUGGGAUUGUAUGAUUAUAAAAAUGAAAUAACCAGUCGGUUUUAGUUCAGAUGUUCCAUAGCCAAGUAAAUUUUCAGAGAAGAAUGUUUAAUCUGCUUUUUCCGUACACAUUUUCAAACCCUAAUCUUCAAAUAACCAGAACCAAAUCUUUUUCCAAGACUACUUUAGUGUUUUGGUAAAUAUGAAGUGAGAAGGCUAGCUCAAACCGACAGCAAAUGGGAUUGUUUUGGGAAGCUUUCUGUUUUGGCAGCGUUAGGUUUACAGUUGGACUCACUGCUCUUAAAGGUCUUUUUCAAUCAAAAUGAUUCUGUGACUUCAGUGAGACAAGAAUUUCCCUCCAUAGUUCUGGAACUGAGCUACCCCAUGAAGUCAGUCACUGGAACUGAAUUCUUGGCACUGAUGAGGGUUUCCUCACUUCAUCCAAAUUUGCAUGAAAUAAGGUAAAGGCAACAUUUCAUGACAGUUUGAUGAAGGCAGAUUGGGAAAUAGAGAAUACCUGGAAAUAAGCACAAGGAUUCUUUGUAAGCAGGAGUGGAGCAGUGCAGUCUUCCCAGGUUUGCUGUGGUUGGUGGGGAUCUGGUCAUGGUGUGGGACCUCCCAUCGCUCAGCGUGGAAGUGCAGAUGUUCAUCCAGCUGUUUCCUCAAGGGGUGCCUCAUGCUAAGCACUGCUGCAGUGGUGGGAAUCCCUGCCCCUUGCACCAGCAGGUAAUGAGGGCCUGUGAUCCCUGGGGGGGGCUGUAGAAGGGUUGUUUGUGGAUCACAUUGGGAGUAACACGAGUACUUCUACUCUUGUGUAACCUCUGCAACAAGGAAAUCGUGGCCAGUGGUGGUCAGAUGUUUUGUAACUCAUGGUUAUAAAACUCGGAAGAUGCACCAUAAGCAGGGGAUGGAGGUGUAAACGUGUGCAGGGCAGGAGCGGUUCUGAGGUACUGGGGGCGGUCAUGGAGAAACAGAUGCUGACAUUGUGUAUAUACUUGAUGGAGUGUUUUAAUUCAUCUUGCAUCUCAUGUUCUUGUAAAGCGCAUCUUCCUCCCAUGCUUCCAAGAUUGUCAACUUGUACAGUACUGUAUGGAGUCUGUUUACAGGAUUUCCAUCCUUGCUGGAGCUUCCAACGUAGACGUUUCUUUGGAAAACUGUUCCUACUGUUACUUUUUGUAAAUAGGUUUUUGUAUUCAACUUGCAUGGAUAAACCCCAUUUCCAAACCAGUGUACAUACGCUGUGUAUAAAAUACAGACUGUUUCAUAACUUUCAUGUAGUCAAGUUAUUCAAUAUGAUUUCACUUCAGGUUUUCUAUAUUCCUAGUAAAUGAUGAUGAUUUGUUGUA